UCAGUAGGAACAUCUUCUUUACUGUCUUUGGAGACUUCUUUCUCAACAUGCCCACUCAGUCUAAGAGCAGCAGAGUGAAAAGAAAGCCCAGCAGGCUCAUAUUUGAGAGCUUUAAUAGGAAAGCAGUUUGAGGAAAUAUAGAUGGGUUCACCAUUUAUAAGCUCUUCUGAGUAUGAAAUAAGACGGAUGCUCCUCCUGGAAGCCAUAGAGAAAGUUUAGCCCUCAAGUUUAGAAUGGAAAGCAGUUUGAGGAAACAUAGAUGGGUUCACCAUUUAUAAGCUCUUCUGAGUAUGAAAUAAGACGGAUGCUACUCCUGGAAGCCAUAGAGAAUGUUUAGCCCUCAAGUUUAGAAGAUGAAUAUGAACACAUUGACCAACUACUACACUUGGGGCAGGAGAGAGCAGCCUUUUACAGUUUCCAGCCUGCAUUA
rnacentral:lncRNA from 1 species